GCCUGGGUGGCUCAGUCGGUUAAGCGUCCGACUUCAGCUUGGGUCAUGAUCUCGUGGUUUGUGAGUUCGAGCCCCACAUCAGGCU
rnacentral:tRNA from 1 species